rnacentral:snRNA from 1 species
GUGCUUGCUUCGGCAGCACAUAUACUAAAAUUGGAACGAUAGAGAAGAUUAGCAUGGCCCCUGC